UCCAGGUAUUUCGGUUUGACUUCCAUUAUUGUCGCUGGAUUCACGGUACUCUUCUGAUUCCAUCGAUACCAAUUACAUGUCUGUAGGACCAAUGACAGUCGAGAUAGAUGCCAUCAAAGCCAAUGAGUCACGUAAGCGAUGAAUCUGACAACCAGUCUUUGAAUGGCCAUAGCGCUGCGUCUGAACGAGCCAAUAAGAUGGGACCUAGAUGUCCGUGUAGCCUAGAGCUUUCUUUAGACACGUGACACAUCGUCACAUUCUACUUCCUUGCCGGCUAAACUCAAUGCGCAAUGGUCAUGCGUAACCAGUCGCCGAAGCAGUGGUUUGGAAGUUUGUUACUAAACAAGCAAGAGGCAUUUUUUUGAAGGUUUUUGUUCGUGAAACAUACCAAAGAGACAAAAAAAGACGACACAUGUCGAAGAACCCGAGGACAUUGAUGACCUGGAGGACAUUGAUGAAGGAGAAGAAAGCAAUUUCUCGACUGAAUGGAGUGCGACUCCGAGGAGGAGCAGAACUUUUUAGCUGGGAAGGACCCUGAUUUUGAGCUCGAUGAAGACUGGGCCCCGCCAAGCAAAAAAAACAAGAGCUGAGGAUCCUGUGUCUGAGGAAGAGGAGCCGGUGGCCGAGAUCAGUGGGACAAGAAGAGGAAAGGGUGCUGCAAGAAGCAGGGAGAGAGGCAGAGGAAGAGGGAGAGGCCAAGGCAGGGGAAGAGGGUGCUCCCACAGCAGACAGGAGAGCGGAGACGCAGAACCAUGGCUUAGGACGGACAUCCAGGACACCAUACCACCACAGCCCACGUUUCGCCCUAUGAGGACUCCUGGCCCCCAGCGUAUCUCUGCACAGUACACAAUAUUAGAACUAUUUUUACCUUUGUUUCAUUUUAUAAUACAAAUGUUCACUGCA